rnacentral:rRNA from 1 species
GACGAACGCUGGCGGCGUGCUUAACACAUGCAAGUCGAGCGGUAAGGCCCUUUCGGGGGUACACGAGCGGCGAACGGGUGAGUAACACGUGGGUGACCUGCCCUCAGCUCUGGGAUAAGCCUGGGAAACUGGGUCUAGUACUGGAUAUGACUCCACGGUGCAUGUCGUGGGGUGGAAAGCCUUGUGCGGCUGAGGAUGGGCCCGCGGCCUAUCAGCUUGUUGGUGGGGUGAUGGCCUACCAAGGCGACGACGGGUAGCCGGCCUGAGAGGGCGACCGGCCACACUGGGACUGAGACACGGCCCAGACUCCUACGGGAGGCAGCAGUGGGGAAUCUUGCGCAAUGGGCGAAAGCCUGACGCAGCGACGCCGCGUGAGGGAUGACGGCCU